GAUGAACGCUGGCGGCGUGCCUAAUACAUGCAAGUCGAGCGAACAGACGAGGAGCUUGCUCCUCUGACGUUAGCGGCGGACGGGUGAGUAACACGUGGAUAACCUACCUAUAAGACUGGGAUAACUUCGGGAAACCGGAGCUAAUACCGGAUAAUAUAUUUAACCGCAUGGUUCAAUAGUGAAAGACGGUUUUGCUGUCACUUAUAGAUGGAUCCGCGCCGCAUUAGCUAGUUGGUAAGGUAACGGCUUACCAAGGCAACGAUGCGUAGCCGACCUGAGAGGGUGAUCGGCCACACUGGAACUGAGACACGGUACAGACUCCUACGGGAGGCAGCAGUAGGGAAUCUUCCGCAAUGGGCGAAAGCCUGACGGAGCAACGCCGCGUGAGUGAUGAAGGUCUUCGGAUCGUAAAACUCUGUUAUUAGGGAAGAACAAAUGUGUAAGUAACUAUGCACGUCUUGACGGUACCUAAUCAGAAAGCCACGGCUAACUACGUG
rnacentral:rRNA from 1 species